rnacentral:tmRNA from 1 species
GGGGGCGUACCGGUUUCGACGGGAGCGCUAGCGCUUAGAAGGCAUGCCGGGGGUCCACACCACCCGUAAUCGGCGUGGGUCAAAGACAACUGCCAACACGCAGUAUGCCUACGCUGCCUAAUUGAUUAGGUAGCCGUCUCCUUCGUCAGGCCCGCAGGACGGAGAGAGGCGUCGCUCAGCGGGCUGAUCCGGGAUUUGCCGCCUGAGGGUCCCGGAUGAGAGUCCCGAUUCGUCGGGACAACAGGCUAGCCGACGGUUCGUUCUUGCCAGUUCCUGAGGGCCGCCGGCGAAAGCGGUAAGCGAACCGGCUACGCAUGUAGGCUUCUAACCGUGAGCCUCUUCGGACGGGGGUUCGACUCCCCCCGCCUCCAA